rnacentral:rRNA from 1 species
CAGUCGCCGCGGUAAUACGUAGGUGGCAAGCGUUGUCCGGAAUUAUUGGGCGUAAAGGGCUCGCAGGCGGUUUCUUAAGUCUGAUGUGAAAGCCCCCGGCUCAACCGGGGAGGGUCAUUGGAAACUGGGAAACUUGAGUGCAGAAGAGGAGAGUGGAAUUCCACGUGUAGCGGUGGAAUGCGUAGAGAUGUGGAGGAACACCAGUGGCGAAGGCGACUCUCUGGUCUGUAACUGACGCUGAGGAGCGAAAGCGUGGGGAGCGAACAGGAUUAGAUACCCCGGUAGCCCUGUCUCUUAUACA